rnacentral:rRNA from 1 species
AUAGCUUGCUAUGAAGAAUAAUUAGUGGCAGACGGGUGAGUAAUGCAUAGGAAUCUACCUAGUAGUAUGGGAUAGCCACUAGAAAUGGUGGGUAAUACUGUAUAAUCCCUGAGGGGGAAAGAUUUAUCGCUAUUAGAUGAGCCUAUGUUAGAUUAGCUAGUUGGUAGGGUAAAGGCCUACCAAGGCGAUGAUCUAUAGCUGGUCUGAGAGGAUGAUCAGCCACACUGGAACUGAGAUACGGUCCAGACUCCUACGGGAGGCAGCAGUGGGGAAUAUUGGACAAUGGGCGCAAGCCUGAUCCAGCUAUGCCGCGUGAGUGAGGAAGGCCUUAGGGUUGUAAAACUCUUUCAGUAGGGAAGAUAAUGACGGUACCUACAGAAGAAGUCCCGGCAAACUCCGUGCCAGCAGCCGCGGUAAUACGGAGGGGGCAAGCGUUGUUCGGAAUUAUUGGGCGUAAAGGGCAUGUAGGCGGUUCGGUAAGUUAAAGGUGAAAUGCCAGGGCUUAACCCUGGAG